GAUGAACGCUGGCGGCGUGCCUAAUACAUGCAAGUCGAGCGAACGGACGAGAAGCUUGCUUCUCUGAUGUUAGCGGCGGACGGGUGAGUAACACGUGGAUAACCUACCUAUAAGACUGGGAUAACUUCGGGAAACCGUAGCUAAUACCGGAUAAUAUUUUGAACCGCAUGGUUCAAAAGCGAAAGACGGUCUUGCUGUCACUUAUAGAUGGAUCCGCGCUGCAUUAGCUAGUUGGUAAGGUAACGGCUUACCAAGGCAACGAUGCAUAGCCGACCUGAGAGGGUGAUCGGCCACACUGGAACUGAGACACGGUCCAGACUCCUACGGGAGGCAGCAGUAGGGAAUCUUCCGCAAUGGGCGAAAGCCUGACGGAGCGACGCCGCGUGAGUGAUGAAGGUCUUCGGAUCGUAAAACUCUGUUAUUAGGGAAGAACAUAUGUGUAAGUAACUGUGCACAUCUUGACGGUACCUAAUCAGAAAGCCACGGCUAACUACGUG
rnacentral:rRNA from 1 species